rnacentral:tRNA from 9 species
GGGGGUAUAGCUCAGCUGGGAGAGCACCUGCUUUGCAAGCAGGGGGUCGUCGGUUCGAGCCCGACUAUCUCCACCA